ensembl:lncRNA
GUACUACAAAGGUUUUUCACAGAAGUUUGUGGCUUUGCUCUGUGAUCUGCUCCAGACAGAAGACUCUUAAUGCUGAUACCCAUAAGUCCCCUUCAUCAUCAUGAGCUGCCACACUUGCAACCCUGUGAGGGUCUUAAACAAGAGGAGGCUGUAAAGAGGCCUUGAAGUUGUCUUCACGCUCACAUACUCUUCCUCGGUCUACUCACCUACACAGCUUAUUGGCCACUUUGUUUGUCUCAAAAGAGUACGGCACAACCAAGACAGCUAUAUAGUUUCGGAUCGCAGCCAACAUGAUUAAAAGCGCUUCCUUGGUCAUCGUCAUUGGCGUUUUGGGAGCUGCCUUCCUUCUCUCGUCGUCGGCUGAAGGAACAAAAGAAGAAAUGGGUGCUGGCAGCAAUUUCUUCUCACUCGUAAAGUCAACCAGAGCCUUUAAAACAAAGGGUAACUACCCUCGGUCAUUGCAGAGGUUCCUGUUAAAUGAUGAGGGAGACUGGAGUGCCAGUGAGAACAAGACAGGGUGAGAGCUGAACUGCAGAUGAAUGCUGUUGAGCGUGUUUUUUUUUUUUCUCU